AUAAUCUGCCCUAUGGUGGAGGAUAACCCCGGGAAACUGGGGAUAAUACUCCAUAAGUCAGGAGUACUGGAAUGUCUCCUAACUGAAAGUUGCGGCGCCAUAGGAUGAAUCUGCGGCCGAUUAGGUAGUUGUUUUUGUUAACGGCCCAACAAGCCCGUAAUCGGUACGGGUUGUGGGAGCAAGAGCCCGGAGAUGGAAUCUGAGACACGAAAACCAGGCCCUACGGGGCGCAGCAUGCGCGAAAACUUUACAAUGCAGGAAACUGUGAUAAGGGAACCCCGAGUGCCCGUAAACGCGGGCUGUCCCGGUGUUUAAAACACAUCGGAAGAAAGGGCCGGGCAAGACCGGUGCCAGCCGCCGCGGUAAUACCGGCGGCUCGAGUGGUGACCACUUUUAUUGGGCUUAAAGCGUUCGUAGCUUGAUUUUUAGUCUCUUGGGAAAUCUCACGGCUUAACUGUGAGCGUCUAGAGAUACUGGGAUCUAGGGACCGGGAGAGGUAGAGGUACUUCAGGGGUAGAAGUGAAAUUCUGUAUCCUUUGAGGACCCCGAUGGG
rnacentral:rRNA from 1 species